AUUUUUCCUAUUGUAAAAACCUUCGUUGAAAUACAUUCAAAAUGGAGUUCACAUGGCAGCUUUCAGGCAAUAUCUAAUGUUCUAACAUAGCCUUAAUACAAACUUCAGCUUCCCAUACACUGUGUAGUUGGCUGAAAAAGAAAGCAGCUGAUUUAUCAGAGCCUCCGUGCUGUAGAUGAGUCUUCAGAAAAAGAACAUGUUGUACUUUGCAAUUGAGACUUUUUUGCAAACACCUAAUAAACCAGAAAAGGAAAGUUUUACUGGGCUUUGUGAGCACAUUUUUCUCUUCUCACUGGAGCACCAAACCCAGUUUGUAAUCCUACUUUCAUUUAUUUCAUUCUCCCCUGAAAUUUCUCAUAGCACAAACUCACUCAAUUCUGGCUGGCUAAUUUGCAUCUCAUGGCCUGCAGUAUCUCUUUAGGAGGUGAACUAUUAAAAAUACAUUAGCCUGGUGUGGAUAGUAAUGGGCCAAAUGCUGCUGGUUUUGAAGGCAAUCUGGGAAGCCUCAUGCUCUUUCUGACUCUUGAUAGCUAUGCAAGCAAGUUGUUUGCUUUUUCUGUCCUUGGACUUUAAAAGUUCUAGCAGCAGAUAUAGGUGAGAUUAUUGUUCUUCUGAAAGUCUGGGAAGUUCUUUUCCAAGCUUGCUCUAAUCUUUAAUGUUACCCUUAUUUCUGUUCUGCCAGAACUGUGUCCUAUCAGCAUCCAAAAAUGUUACACAUAACUUUGGCUUGCUUACAGAAGAUGAUCCAACCACUAACAUUUGCCUUCUGUAGCUGAGCGCUGAAAGAAAAAAAUAAUCCACAUUUGAAAUGUGAGACUUCGCUGCUGUCAGUUUCUGGAGUUGAUUAUUAGGACUGUGAUUUUUAUCUACUCACUUGUACAGUAAUUAAAAGCAAUUCCCUCAUCAGUUAUCAUCCUGCGAAGCCAGCUUUUAGGCAGUGCUUGAUGUACAGUUUAUUAACCUAAGCCUACGUUGAAGGAAAGGUGACAUAGUUUAAAAAGUAAGAAUGAACACAUCUGCUCUGAAACAAAGAGCUGAAUGUAAAAUAGAUACUUACUGUUAAACCAGCAAAAAUGGCAAUGUGAUUUUAAUUGGCAAAGUAGGAGUAAUUACUUGGCUUGGGCCAGGUGUACACCUCCAUUCUGUCCACUCCCAUCUGUGUCCUUUUUUACGUGGAUUAUUUUCUAUGUGGGUAUAUCCUGUCGUGAUGGAGUAGGUGGUUAAAUAAUUAAGAAGGAAAUCAGGGAAUCAAUAACAGUUGCAUGCUGAAGAGGAAGAGCUAUUCAGCUGCCUGACAACCUUUGCCACGCCUUCUAGCAGGUAUUGAUGAGUACAAAUGCGUAUCAGUGUCAGCUUCAAAUCCAAGAUAUUUGAUGUUAACUGGAUACUGUGCCUCUAGCUGCCAACAUUGUAACUGAGGACAUCUUUAUUGCAGGAAAGAAAUGUAAAAUAAUAGGCAAGAAUAAGCAUGAUGUUUACCUGUGAUAACUUUUCUGGAUGGGUGCUGGAGACAAAAUAUGAGGCUGAAUGAAGGCAAACUGAGUGAACUCAACUGUGGAUCUAUGACAUUGGACUUCUCUUAACUGCUGAAAGUGAUAUGGAAUCUUGUGAUAAUACUCAAAUAUUAGAAAGAAAAGCCAUUGAGAGAAGAAAAUUGAAAGUGGAACACAAGUCCCUAAAGCUUUAUAUGCACCUAAAGCACCAGCAUGGGGGUGCCUGAGAAAGGGGUGUAGAAACAGCUCUGAUGUAAAGAUGCAGACUGCCCUGUUUACUGAUGAAGUUGUGGUUUAUCCAGGAAGGGGAAACAAAGAGGUGAAAACCUACUACUGAUUCUGCUUCUUUAAAUGCAUUCAUUCAAGGCAGUCUGACAACAGCAUGGUGCGUGACAGACAGGAAAGCAAUGUGCAACCCAUGGUCAGCCAGAGAGAAAGCAGUAAGUGCCACAGAAUGUUGUGCCCACCCCCACGAAGUGAAUGAAGAACUGCAUGGAUUUUGUUUUAAAUGGAGCUGAACAGUAAUCCCAGGAGAUUUAAGAGCUGAGAUCAUGCAGUGGAUACAUAUUUCACACCUGGAGAUAGAGACAUGCCUGAGAUGAGCCAGGAAAUGUAUCUACAGGCCAGGCAUGAAUACCCAGUUGAAAGCAUAUAUGGAACAGUGCAAGCUGUACAAAGAAUAUAGUGAUUGACAAGAAACGCCUCAUGGAAUUCCAGCCCAGCCCUAGGAAAAGGUCAGAACAGACUUGUCAAUUUCUAAUGAAAGAAACUUAAUGGCACAGUAGAUUAAUAUCCCAGUUUUUGGAAGAUGCACAGGCAAGAACAAUGAUCAGAAAACUGAAGGUACAGGUUUUGAAAUGUGUGAUAACUCACUCACUGGGACCAAGUGAGAGGCUCCUGAUACUCUUCAUUUAAGCAUUUGAAAAAUUUGCUAACUUUAAAAACUUCUGCAUAAGAUUUAUGUUUCUGAAAAUACACAACACAAUAGGAAGAUGGCAACAGCCUUGACAGCAGCCAGGAAACUGAUGGCAGUGUUAGAUGGAUAAGGAAGGGUGUUUGGCCUGGUUAUUUUGAACCUUUUAAAUGCUAAAUGUUCCCAUGGUUUAAAUAGAUAUUUCUAAGGAAACUAAGCAAGUGCAAAGGACCGAACCCCCAGAGGUUACUCUAUGCAGGAAGGCAUGUAUGAAAUUAGUCAUUAUUAUGAAAAGUAACUACAAAAAAAUUGUUACUGGGUGCAGGAUGUGAAAUGAGAAGAAUAAGCAGGAAAAAUGAAACUCAAGACACCUUACUGUGACUUGAAUCAAAGAUAGCACCAGGGGAUCAUAGUCUGUUAGGCUAAUGUAAGCAAGACAAAAAGUUUGUGAAGUGUGUGAUCAACACAGAGGAUCAAUAUGGCCGAUUCUUUUGAGUGCCCUCAAUAGUAACAGAAAACAGGGAAAGUGAACGGUACAGAGAGAACUUGGUGGCUUCAUCAUUGUCAUUUGGUGGUGUUUUAGCUACUGCAGAUUAGCCUGCCUGGCAUCCGUUUGCUACCCUGGUGGAGUGUCAGUCGACUUUAGGUCCUGCGUCAUCUCUGCUAUUCCUGUGCAGAUGUCCUGGAUGCCUGACGAGCUCUCAAAUGGCACCAGGCACCUGUGUGUCGGGCAGGAAUCCUGGCCUUUGCUUUAUGAAGCAACACGUUCUUGAAGGGCUACAACAGUGUGGUAAUGGCCACAGCCAAGUAUAGCAGCAAUGAGCAAGCUGGACAAAUCUUUAAACAGGACGAUUGAUGUGUUUUGGUUUGGUUUGGUUGAAAGACUGAACUAGCUUGCCAGAGGGAAUUCAGAGGAAACCAGAACAUUUUCCCAAAGAGAAGAGAAAUAAACUAAUUCCUUAUGAAAGUUGCUGGAUGGACAAGUCCUGGAGGAACUGUAGUGGAUUCCUCUGCCUUUCUUCACCCCUAGGCUGGUCCUCUGCGUGUGUCUCACACAUAAGGAACUCUGGUUGAUCACUAUCCAUCUUUUCUGCUGAGGACAUCUAAGGUUUAACAAAGGAUGUAUUUUCUUUACUCUUCAGUCUGGAUUUCUCUCAGUGUGAGAAGAUUAAACCUGAAAGACUAUGUUGAAGUCCAUGCUUAUAUCACUGUUAAGCUUGCAAAUGGGAAAAUGAGAGAGGCUACUUUCGGUCACUCAUGAGCUACAUGUAUUUUGUGUGUUUAUAUACAUGAAACUACUAAGAAGAUACCUCUGGGAUGAUUUUCUUCAAUUUUGAGUUCUGGGCAUAUGCAGAAUUAUACAUCCACCUCUACAGCAUUUCAUAGAGACAUCUGACCAGAGACUGCUGAUGUAUAGGCAGCUGGAAGAUGUGAAGUCUCAUACAGAGAAGCAGUGUGGGAAUAAGUAAGCAAAAGGGCCAGAAAUCCUCACCCUAGGGAACUGUGGAACCGACACUGGAAGACUGUCAAGUCAGAAUAUCCCUAGAAUGAUAGAACAUAAAUUCAAGCCACACAUAAAUCCAGAUUUCAGAGGCUUGAGCUCAGGUAAGACUCAGGAUUACAUGAAAUUUGUAAGUAAAGUACAGGAAAUCUACAGUGAUUUCAUGUAUUUAAAACCUGUUCUCAAUCAAACUAAGACAAAUUAGUUUCAACAGAAAAAAAAAGUCCUGGAAGGGAUUCCUAGAAUUUUAACUGAAGAGGUUUUUAAAAAAUCAAUUUUAAGAUACUACUGUAGUUGAAAAUUGUUUCAGGCUGAGGCAAGAUGUGAAUCUAAUUGUCACAGCCUUACGAAAAUAUUCUGCAUAUAGAAGCUUAUCACAUAACAUAAUUACCUUAUUCUAGUUUGUAUUCUAGACCAAGCACAUCUGCACGAGACGUUACUCAGUCAGAAUGCUGCUUUUAUUCUUGAAUAAUUCCAUGUGCAGUCAAGCCUUUAGUCAAAUCAGCACAACUCUGAAUGUACAUGAAUUGUCGGUCUAUCUCUGCUUGCAUUUACAGGAAAACUGUAUCUCUGUUCCUAAAAGCAGCUGACAGAUCUGAAAACGUCACAUUUGUUUGCAGAUAAGCAUGAAUCUUACUAGCUCCCACCCUUACUAACCUAUUAUUUCUAUGUCCUUUAGGUUUUAUGAAUCGCAUAUCCUUCAAAUUUUGUGUUCAAUGUCAUUAGCAAACUAAUAAGUGCUAUGGAGAGAAAGAAAACCUUUUUCUUCCCUUGUUUGCCAAAAAGCCAAAUGGAAAGGUUUUGAAUAUGACAGUGCUCCAUCAACUUUAUGUAAGAGUCCAGAAGAAGAAAAUCAAGUUGCUUUUCUUUUUCUGGAGAAAAAAAAAUAAAUCUUUGUUCUAGUUCAGUAAAAAAACCCCACACGUUAGACCUUUUAACCAUAAAGGCUUGCUUUUCUUCACACUAUUUGUGUUUGUCACCUGUGUUUGCCUAGUUCUGUCAUGAGUGCUACCUCAAAACCUUAAUAAAACAUUAAUGUCCAAGCCCCAGAACUUCCACCGUCACAUUUCUGUCAUUUAUCUCUGUUACUGAUUUUAGCUGUGGUUACCUUUUAGAACAGUAAAAUAGCAAGCUAUACAUUUCAAGGAAGAGACAAGAUUUAUGAAUGUAUACAACUGGGACCUCCUACUCAUGAUAUAAAAUAUCAGUUGGCACUCUUAAUAUGUGGUCAAAGUUGUUUAUCUUCUACUUUGUGUAGUUUUUGUACCUCUGCUUUAAUAUUCUUCUCUAAUAUAGGUUUUAACAAUCUAAGUACAGACUGAAUGGUCUUAUUAGCAUCUUUUUAGUUAAUACCUAAGUAUAUCUUUUAAUUCAAUUGUGCCUGAAAGUUGUCACUAAAUGGCUACUUUCUAGUCCAUAAGAAAUUACGUGGUGCUGGCUGUUCAGGCAUGUUUAACAUGAGUUUGUCCCAGCUGUAUUCUCAACAGAGCAACUCCUUAAGAGCCCAUGAAGAUGCAUCAGCUUUUUUUUAACCUAGUCUUUCUCCCAGCAGACUGGAACGAAGAGGUCAGUUCUGUUAUCACAUUUACUCCUGCUCGUGCUGUGAGCAGGAGUCUGCAUCCUUGUUUAAUGUCACAGCAGACUACAGAUAUCAGGCAUUCAGGGAUAACAUUUUUCAGAAUCACAAGCCCAAGACCAAUUAGUUUUCUUACUGGGGAGGUCAUUGUAGAUUUCUGAAAUAGGACCAGUGAACUGGAGAAUUCCUCAUUUUUCAGAUAUGUUUUUGUUCUUUAAAUAUGUAUUAUCAGCAUUAACAGUUAUCGGCUAUUCUGAUCUAUAGCACAAUAAAAUAAAGACAUAUUCAGGAAUGAUGCAACCCCUACUUGUGUCACACUGCUUGCACAAGCUCAGUAUUAAUUUCAGAGAGCAGUAGCUCCACAGUAUUCAAGGUAAAAACUGCCUGGGAAAAGAGGAAUUACCAAGGCCUGGCUGUCUCAUUUUUAUAUGUGGGAUACUCAGCACAUGUGCAAUCCAAAGCACCCUUCCUUCCUCCUAAUAAAGGCAGGAUUCCUCAGCUGGCUAGAAAGAGGGGAAUAACCAGCAUGAAGGGUGUUUAGACCUUGGGUUUUCCUCGGGGCUAGCAUGUCAGCAGUGUGUAAUUCUCUACAUAAAAUGCCCACUUCCCCUUGCAUUGGCUGUAAAAGUGGCUCACGCAGCCUCACGGGCCACUGGGUUGAUGGGCACCACUGACAGGCUCUUGAGCUUUGUCCACCAGGUCUGCAGCUCCAAGUCCCUGUCACCCCCAGGAGCUUUGAGAAGGUUCCCCAGCACCUCCCCUCCGCAGUGAGCGCCCAAAGGCACAUGUGUACCACAGCCACGGCAUCUGGAGAGGUGGAGGAUAUGGGUGUCCCCCUCCCCAGUUACUGAUGAGAGGAAACCCAGCCUGAGGGAUAAAACAUCUGGGCACAGCCACUGCAGGCAUCUCCCAGAAUUUACAGCUCAUGGAAAUCUGCCAGAUCACCAGCAUCCAUCCCCAGCGUGGGGCACUGAGUAACACUAAUUGGGCAAAUUGAGAGGAACUGUGCAUUUUGACUUGCUCACCUGGGAAAGAUCAACACUCAUCACAGCAGGCUCCUCUUCAGAAGUGCAGGAAUGGCUACUGGAAGGCUGUGGUGCAUGCAACUCAGCAGUUGGAUGCCUGGGAACAUGGAAGCAGCAUCAACUCUCUACUUGGAGAAAGAAGGGCUGUGAGGGGUUGGCCCUCGGCUCUCCCUGACACCUUGGUCCCGUGGGAAAGGCCCUGUAUGGGAGCACCUAUCAGGACUGCGAGCAGGUCAGUGCCUCAGAAGGAAUUAGUUUGCCUUUUUUUCCCUCUGAGG